GACGAACGCUGGCGGCGUGCUUAACACAUGCAAGUCGAACGGAAAGGCCCUGCUUGCAGGGUACUCGAGUGGCGAACGGGUGAGUAACACGUGGGUGAUCUGCCCUGCACUUCGGGAUAAGCCUGGGAAACUGGGUCUAAUACCGGAUAGGAGCCAUUUUUAGUGUGAUGGUUGGUAAGUUUUUUCGGUGUAGGAUGAGCUCGCGGCCUAUCAGCUUGUUGGUGGGGUAAUGGCCUACCAAGGCGGCGACGGGUAGCCGGCCUGAGAGGGUGGACGGCCACAUUGGGACUGAGAUACGGCCCAGACUCCUACGGGAGGCAGAAGUGGGGAAUAUUGAACAAUGGGCGCAAGCCUGAUGCAGAGACGCCGCGUGGGGGAUGACGGCCUUCGGGUUGUAAACUCCUUUCGCUAGGGACGAAGCUUUUUGUGACGGUACCUAGAUAAGAAGCACCGGCUAACUACGUG
rnacentral:rRNA from 1 species